rnacentral:rRNA from 1 species
UACGGGGGGGGGCAAGCGUUGUUCGGAAUUACUGGGCGUAAAGGGCUCGUAGGUGGCCAACUAAGUCAGACGUGAAAUCCCUCAGCUUAACUGGGGAACUGCGUCUGAUACUGGAUGGCUUGAGUUUGGGAGAGGGAUGCGGAAUUCCAGGUGUAGCGGUGAAAUGCGUAGAUAUCUGGAGGAACACCGGUGGCGAAGGCGGCAUCCUGGACCAACACUGACACUGAGGAGCGAAAGCGUGGGGAGCGAACAGG